rnacentral:rRNA from 1 species
UACGUAGGGGGCUAGCGUUGUCCGGAUUUAUUGGGCGUAAGAGCGCGUAGGCGGCCGAGUAAGUCCGACGUGAAAUCUGGAGGCUCAACCUCCAGCGGUCGUUGGAAACUACUCGGCUAGAGUCCGGAAGAGGAGAGUGGAAUUCCGUGGUGUAGCGGUGAAAUGCGCAGAUAUCAGGAAGAACACCGAUGGCGAAAGCAGCUCUCUGGGACGGUACUGACGCUGAGGCGCGAAAGCGUGGGAGCGAACAGG